UACAGAGGUCCCGAGCGUUGUUCGGAAUUACUGGGCGUAAAGGGUGCGCAGGCGGCUAUGUAAGUCGGAAGUGAAAUCCCAGGGCUUAACCUUGGAAUUGCUUUCGAAACUACAUAGCUCGAGUCUCGGAGAGGUUAGCGGAAUUCCUAGUGUAGAGGUGAAAUUCGUAGAUAUUCGGAAGAACACCAGUGGCGAAGGCGACUUACUGGACACGUAUUGACGCUGAGGUGCGAAAGCGUGGGGAGCAAACAGG
rnacentral:rRNA from 1 species